ACGGAGCUCCUGAUGCUCGCCGGGGAAAGCCAGCGGUGCUGCCACCGCACUCCUUAAGUGGAUCGGCCCCCGGGAGUUUCAGGAGCUCCGU
rnacentral:sRNA from 12 species